AAAUUAUAACAAAAGAUCCGCUGUAGCACAUUGUCUAAAGCAAACAUUCUAGUUUAAUACUGGAUCAGAAUUCCGGGUUCGAAGCCCGCAGCGAAAAAAUCUUUCUGGUGGUUUUUAUGAAGUAUCUUGUUUGAAAAUUGAAGAUACUUUCUCGUAUUGUUCUUUCUUCUCUGCUCAUUGUUAUGGUUUUUAUACUAUAUU
rnacentral:sRNA from 1 species